UACGUAGGGGGCGAGCGUUGUCCGGAAUGAUUGGGCGUAAAGGGCGCGUAGGCGGCUGAUUAAGUCUGAAGUGAAAGUCCUGUUUUUAAGAUGGGAAUUGCUUUGGAUACUGGUCAGCUUGAGUGCAGGAGAGGUAAGUGGAAUUCCCAGUGUAGCGGUGAAAUGCGUAGAGAUUGGGAGGAACACCAGUGGCGAAGGCGACUUACUGGACUGUAACUGACGCUGAGGCGCGAAAGUGUGGGGAG
rnacentral:rRNA from 1 species